rnacentral:rRNA from 1 species
AUUGAACGCUGGCGGCAGGCCUAACACAUGCAAGUCGAACGAGUGGCGGACGGGUGAGUAAUGUCUGGGAAACUGCCUGAUGGAGGGGGAUAACUACUGGAAACGGUAGCUAAUACCGCAUACCAUCAGAUGUGCCCAGAUGGGAUUAGCUUGUUGGGGGGGUAACGGCUCACCAAGGCGACGAUCCCUAGCUGGUCUGAGAGGAUGACCAGCCAACCUGGAAAGUAGCCACUGGCCAUAAUCCUACGGGAGGCAGCAGUGGGGAAUAUUGCACAAUGUGCGCAAGCCGGAUGCAGCCAUGCCGCGUGUAUGAAGAAGGCCUUCGGGUUGUAAAGUACUUUCAGCGGGGAGGCGUUACCCGCAGAAGAAGCACCGGCUAACUCCGUGCCAGCAGCCGCGGUAAUUC